rnacentral:rRNA from 1 species
UACGUAGGGUGCAAGCGUUAAUCGGAAUUACUGGGCGUAAAGCGCGCGCAGGCGGUUAUGUAAGACAGUUGUGAAAUCCCCGGGCUCAACCUGGGAACUGCAUCUGUGACUGCAUAGCUAGAGUACGGUAGAGGGGGAUGGAAUUCCGCGUGUAGCAGUGAAAUGCGUAGAUAUGCGGAGGAACACCGAUGGCGAAGGCAAUCCCCUGGACCUGUACUGACGCUCAUGCACGAAAGCGUGGGGAGCAAACAGG